UGUGUGUGUGAGAGAGAGAGGUGUGUGUGUGUGUGAGAGAGAGAGAGAGGUGUGUGUGUGUGUGAGAGAGAGAGAGAGGUGAGUGUGUGUGUGUGAGAGAGAGAGGUGAGUGUGUGUGUGUGUGUGAGAGAGAGAGGUGAGUGUGUGUGCGUGAGAGAGGUGAGUGUGUGUGUGAGAGGGGUGUGUGUGGGUGUGUGUGUGUGUGUGAGAGGGAGAGAGGGGUGUGUGUGUGAGAGAGGUGAGUGUGUGUGUGAGAGGGGUGUGUGUGGGUGUGUGUGUGUGUGUGAGAGGGAGAGAGGGGUGUGUGUGUGUGUGUGUGAGAGAGGUGAGUGUGUGUGUGAGAGGGGUGUGUGUGUGUGAGAGGGAGAGAGGGGUGUGUGUGUGUGAGAGAGAGAGGGGAAUGUCUGUGUGAGAGGGUUGUGUGAGGGGUGGGUGUGUGUGAGAGAGAGAGGGGUGUGUGUCUGUGUGAGAGGGGUGGGUGUGUGUGAGAGUGAGAUCCAGUCUCCUCCCCUCUGUGCUCAGGCUGUGUUGAUUCUGAGCGCCGGCAUGUUUAACACUGAACGUCUUACCCUCUUACCUGCUCUGCACAGGUGUGUUACAGGUGUGAGACCUCCCCCCUCCCCAGGCCCCUCCCACCCCCUCUGACUCCUCCCCUUUCACAGUGUAUUGAGUGUUCACAAGAGCCCAGGCUCCACCCUCCCCGCCAGACCCCUCCUCUUUCAGGGCUUGUUGAAUAUUCAUGAGAGCACAGGCUCCACCCACUACUCAGGACCCCUCCUCUUUCGGGAAUUUGCUCUUGUAUGAUUGGUCCAUUAGAAUUCCAGACGGAAAGAAAGGACGGGUGUGAUUGGCUCUUAAGAAUUCCAGACUGAAUGAAUGAAGACGUGUGAUUGGUCCAGCAGAAUUUCAGCCUGACAGAGAGGAGGGGUGUGAUUGGUCCAGCGGAAUUUCAGCCUGACAGAGAGGAGGGAUGUGAUUGGCCAGUUGGUCCUACACAGGGAGAGAUGGGAUUGGUCCGUCAGAAAUGCUGUCAUGUACUGGCUCUGUGACUUUGGUUUCACUGACUGAAGGCAGACAUACAGCACCUUUGCCAAUAUACAUCAGAUAAUCAUUAUCAAAGACUCAUUAAUCGCAAUGAUUGUUAGCUCUGAAGGAGAUAUCUUCAUAUUAUUUACCUGUCUUCGAAGUAGAAGGUAGACUGUGAUUGUCAUUAUUCAAGGUUCAGGUAUCUGUUUUCAAUCUGUUACAGUGACAACUGAAUAUUUUUGAGAGACAGGAGCCCCAGAGUCUCUUAUAAAAGC
ensembl:lincRNA